CUGGCUCGCUGGGAAGUCACCUCUUGACUUUCCAGCAGCCUCCCACACAGACACCGCCAAAGUUUUUGCUCAUCUGUACUCCUUAUGGUUUGCAUUUGGUGCUAGUGAAGUCUCUUUCAUUCUAAUUCUGCAUCCGCCAUCCCGCUCUUUGCCGAUCUGCCUGUCGUCUUUGAUGUCCAUCGAGCCAGCAGAGAGUUUAAUCCGUCUCCGAGGCUCCGGAGCAGCAGAGGGUUAAGAGCCGGUUUACCAACGCCGCAUGGCGACCCGCUCCCGUGAUAUCCAGGCCGCCGCUCUUGCACUUCAAAGGCUGGAGCGACUUCUGAAGAAGCGCUGGCCUUUCAACUGCUGGCAAGGUCAGCCUGCGCCUGUGUCUUCCCACACAUCUGCACAGUAUCACAGCUGCAGGCCACAGCGGCCACAGUGCACACCCUGCACACUGUACAGCACCACUCCCCCGACCACACCUCGCCCUCCUCACUCACAGGGACAGCCUGCAGUCCAUCUGGGAGUAGUUUGGACCUCGAUUUGUCUUACAAGUCCUAAUUCUUAAUGAGCGCCACCACUGAUUAAUGGUGACAACUGCCAUUUUGGCCCAAAAGGAGCAAGUGGUUGUGCUAACAAACAUUCGAUUAAGAUGCAAAGCAGUCGCUGUAUACCCGUCGGACAGAUAAGAGACCUGGAUAGCUGUGUGUUAGCGACAUAAGCUAGCAGCUCUAGGGAUGGAUUGCCAUGACAUUUUGUACAGACAUUCAUGGUGCCAGUGCACAAAUCCUAACGACUUCACUGAUCCCCCCCCGACUUCGUCUCUUGCGUCAGCAGCAGAUUGACAUUUGAGGCCUUGUAUGAAAUGUUUCAGCGGCGACUGGACGGAUUGGCAUGAAAACUAGUGUGUUCCCCACAGGAUGAACUCUGAUAACUACAAAGAUCCCCCUGACUUUGUCUUAACUUUGUCUGAUGACAAGUGUAAACCCACCGUGACGUCACAGAGUGGCUUGUAGACGUUUGGAGGCUCAAGUGUGGCAUUAUGUCAGUGCUCGUCUUGGUUUCUGCCACCAGAGGUGACCAUAUUUGGUUGAGAGAGGGGAGAUGGGGAGGAUAUGCUGGAGUCACUUCGGAUUCUGCUGAUUGGAGCGGUUUACCGACGCGAGGAGAGCUCGGAGAUUAUCAUUAACUUUAGGAAUUAAACUUGUGGAUUUUGCUUGGUUUGAACAUUGUUUAAAACAUCUGGUAUGAUGCAAAUACACAAAGCAAAAACAUGUCUAUCAACAGUCUAGUUGAUUUUAAGCAAUUAAAUACAGAAUCCUUCAUAUUUCUUUAAAAACAUACAACAGUUUUUCAUUUUGUCUUGUCUACACGGGACUUAAUAUCUUAAAAUUAGGAUGUAAGGCACACAAAUGCUCAAGCACUGUGGCGGUCUUUAACCUGAGAACAUUCCUCUCUAUUUGGUUAAAUGCAAAGCCAACUUGGCACGUAAGACUUCCCUUGAAUGCACCACCAAGAGCCCUGUGAUCUGUAAGAAAUAAAGAUUUAUUUUACUUUCUGUCGAAGCAAGUUGCUUCUAUAAUCCCUGUACGUAACACCCCACCAUCUGCAUAACUUACUAAUACAUUCCAUCAGCUGCACAUUCAAACAUCAGACUAUGGUAUGGAGCCACUGAUGGCGCGUUAAUAUUAACAAGCUCUGAUAUGUCUCCUACUCUCCAGUGUACUGAGAUGAUGACAGGUGGG